ACGCACGCUGGCGGCGUGCUUAACACCUGCAAGUCGAACGGAAAGGCCUGCUUUCCCUUGUGGAUUGCGGGUGCUCGAGUGGCGAACGGGUGAGUAACACGUGAGUGAUCUGCCCCCAACUUGGGUAUAAGCCUGGGAAACUGGGUCUAAUUCCCGAUAGGACUGCAGGGUGGUGCCUGUGGUGGAAAACGAUUUUCUAGUGGUUGGGGAUGAGCUCGCGGCCUAUCAGCUUGUUGGUGGGGUAAUGGCCUACCAAGGCGGCGACGGGUAGCCGGCCUGAGAGGGUGGACGGCCACAUUGGGACUGAGAUACGGCCCAGACUCCUACGGGAGGCAGCAGUGGGGAAUAUUGCACAAUGGGCGGAAGCCUGAUGCAGCGACGCCGCGUGGGGGAUGACGGCCUUCGGGUUGUAAACUCCUUUCGACCGCGAGGAAGCCACCUGGUUGGAAGGGUGGUGACGGUAGUGGUAGAAGAAGCACCGGCUAACUACGUG
rnacentral:rRNA from 1 species